CAAGGUCGCAAAAGCAGCCCCGGCCCAUCGCCUACAUUUUUGGCAGCCGAGGCCUGCAAACAGAGGCUGGUGGACGGCUGGGCUUUCAGUACUCGGACACCUCCAGGAAUAUAAAAGAAUAUGUCCUGAAACGGAAAUAUUUGAAAAUGUGCAUCAAAAGAAGACCCUCUGUAUGAAGACAAAAAAUGACAGCAAGAUUGUCAUCUAAGUACAUACAGAUGUUCCAGGUCCCUUUGGAUUGCAUUAUGACAGAGGACAGAGGAGAUAACAUAGCCUUGGGGCAAGACCAUGGAACCGUGUAAGGACAGACUGUCUCAAGAAAAUGCAAACUGUUUAUGAUCCUGCUUUCAAGUAGUAAUGAAAAUAAAUAGAUUUACCACAUUAGUGGCCAUAUAUCAUGUGUCUAAAGUUUUGAUGUGUUCAAGCAAAGAUAGCACCUUUUGGCAUGCCACCCAUAAUAGAGACCACUGGUGGUUUGUAUUUGCAAUUGUCAAUUAUCCU